rfam:Staphylococcus hyicus strain ATCC 11249, complete genome.
CGGACCAAGUAGAAGCACCCGCUUCUCACCUGUAGCGACGCAUCAAGCAGUUGGCAGGUAAACGAUAAACAUGUGAAGAACGUUCAUGUUAUUGAAGAGGCGGGGACAUAAGAUGUCCUCGCUUCUUUUUGUAC